UGACCGAACCGUAAGGGGAGGCGAUCACGUGGCAGAAGUCAGCAGAGGGCAUAGUAGUCGAUGGAAACGAGCUGGGCC
rfam:Desulfobacter postgatei 2ac9 chromosome, whole genome shotgun sequence.